rnacentral:tRNA from 1 species
GGUCUGUGGCUCAGUGGAAGAGUGCUUGCCUAGAAUGUGUGAGGCACUGGGUUCAAUUCUCAGCACCA